UACGGAGGGUGCAAGCGUUGUUCGGAUUUACUGGGCGUAAAGCGCACGUAGGCGGAUCGUUAAGUCGGGGGUGAAAUCCCGGGGCUCAACCCCGGAACUGCCUUCGAUACUGGCGAUCUUGAGUCCGGAAGAGGUGAGUGGAACUCCUAGUGUAGAGGUGGAAUUCGUAGAUACUAGGAAGAACACCAGUGGCGAAGGCGGCUCACUGGUCCAUUACUGACGCUGAGGUGCGAAAGCGUGGGGGGCAAGCAGG
rnacentral:rRNA from 1 species